rnacentral:pre_miRNA from 1 species
AAAGGAAUAACAGUGUGAUUCUCUUUUGGCAGGGAAGACAUGCAAAUGCAUACUUAUUUCUUUGCCAAAGGAGAAUUGCCCUGCCAUUCAAUC